rnacentral:rRNA from 1 species
AGGGUUUGAUUGGCUCAGGAUGAACGCUGGCGGCGUGCUUAACACAUGCAAGUCGAACGAAGCGCUUAACUUGAUUUCUUCGGAAUGAUCGUUUUGUGACUGAGUGGCGGACGGGUGAGUAACGCGUGGGUAACCUGCCUCAUACAGGGGGAUAACAGCCGGAAACAGCUGCUAAUACCGCAUAAGCGCACAGCAUCGCAUGAUGCCGUGUGAAAAACUCCGGUGGUAUGGGAUGGACCCGCGUCUGAUUAGCCAGUUGGCGGGGUAACGGCCCACCAAAGCGACGAUCAGUAGCCGACCUGAGAGGGUGACCGGCCACAUUGGGACUGAGACACGGCCCAA